rnacentral:rRNA from 1 species
GUAGUCAGAGCCCGUUAAUGGGUGAUGGCGUGCCUUUUGUAGAAUGAACCGGCGAGUUACGAUUUGAUGCAAGGUUAAGCAGUAAAUGUGGAGCCGUAGCGAAAGCGAGUCUGAAUAGGGCGUUUAGUAUUUGGUCGUAGACCCGAAACCAGGUGAUCUACCCUUGGUCAGGUUGAAGUUCAGGUAACACUGAAUGGAGGACCGAACCGACUUACGUUGAAAAGUGAGCGGAUGAACUGAGGGUAGCGGAGAAAUUCCAAUCGAACCUGGAGAUAGCUGGUUCUCUCCGAAAUAGCUUUAGGGCUAGCCUCAAGUGAUGAUUAUUGGAGGUAGAGCACUGUUUGGACGAGGGGCCCCUCUCGGGUUACCGAAUUCAGACAAACUCCGAAUGCCAAUUAAUUUAACUUGGGAGUCAGAACAUGGGUGAUAAGGUCCGUGUUCGAAAGGGAAACAGCCCAGACCACCAGCUAAGGUCCCAAAAUAUAUGUUAAGUGGAAAAGGAUGUGGCGUUGCCCAGACAACUAGGAUGUUGGCUUAGAAGCAGCCAUCAUUUAAAGAGUGCGUAAUAGCUCACUAGUCGAGUGACACUGCGCCGAAAAUGUACCGGGGCUAAACAUAUUACCGAAGCUGUGGAUUGUCCUUUGGACAAUGGUAGGAGAGCGUUCUAAGGGCGUUGAAGCAUGAUCGUAAGGACAUGUGGAGCGCUUAGAAGUGAGAAUGCCGGUGUGAGUAGCGAAAGACGGGUGAGAAUCCCGUCCACCGAUUGACUAAGGUUUCCAGAGGAAGGCUCGUCCGCUCUGGGUUAGUCGGGUCCUAAGCUGAGGCCGACAGGCGUAGGCGAUGGAUAACAGGUUGAUAUUCCUGUACCACCUAUA